rnacentral:rRNA from 1 species
GACGAACGCUGGCGGCGUGCUUAACACAUGCAAGUCGAACGGUGAAGCGCUUGCCUUUUUGGUGGGUGUGGAUGAGUGGCGAACGGGUGAGUAACACGUGAGUAACCUGCCCUCUUCUUCUGGAUAACCUCAUGAAAGUGGGGCUAAUACGGGGUAUUCCGGGUCUGUCGCAUGGCGGGUUUGGGAAAGAUUGCGCCUUUGGGUGUGGUCGGUGGGGGAUGGGCUCGCGGCCUAUCAGCUUGUUGGUGGGGUGAUGGCCUACCAAGGCGGUGACGGGUAGCCGGCCUGAGAGGGUGGACGGCCACACUGGGACUGAGACACGGCCCAGACUCCUGCGGGAGGCAGCAGUGGGGAAUCUUGCACAAUGGGCGCAAGCCUGAUGCAGCGACGCCGCGUGAGGGAUGGAGGCCUUCGGGUUGUGAACCUCUUUCGCCAGUGAAGCAGGCCUGCUCCUGUGUGGGUGGGUUGACGGUAGCUGGAUAAGAAGCGCCGGCUAACUACGUG